UACAAAAUUGAUGCGCGUACGCUUAGCGA
rnacentral:sRNA from 1 species